rnacentral:lncRNA from 1 species
AGCAUCCUCUGCCGAAAAGAUUCCACCUUCUGACCCAAUCAUAUCUCUUCUCAAAUAAUCAAGGAUAUCACGGGCGAUAAAGGAAUAGAAAACAUCCCUAGUGAUGGAAAAAACAUCCAAGUAAACAUUGGCAAGUUGCCCUUGGUCAUACAGCAUUUUCUCAAAAUGAGGAACUGCAAGAAAAGAUAACAGUUAUAAUGAUGUCCAUCACAACAAUAGACAAAAUGAAAAUUUUUACGACAAAAAUUAAGUUGCCAGAAAAAGGAAGAACAAAAAAAAAAUGUUGUGGGAAUGAUGAAUACUAUAAUAUGAAUUAGUGGUAAAUAUGUAGCAAUCAUAUUGAUU